AUUGAACGCUGGCGGCAUGCUUUACACAUGCAAGUCGAACGGUAACAGGCCGCAAGGUGCUGACGAGUGGCGAACGGGUGAGUAAUGCAUCGGAACGUGCCCAGUCGUGGGGGAUAACGCAGCGAAAGCUGCGCUAAUACCGCAUACGAUCUAUGGAUGAAAGCGGGGGACCGGUAAGGCCUCGCGCGAUUGGAGCGGCCGAUGUCAGAUUAGGUAGUUGGUGGGGUAAAGGGCUCACCAAGCCAACGAUCUGUAGCUGGUCUGAGAGGACGACCAGCCACACUGGGACUGAGACACGGCCCAGACUCCUACGGGAGGCAGCAGU
rnacentral:rRNA from 1 species